rnacentral:rRNA from 1 species
UGGGGAAUUUUGGACAAUGGACGCAAGUCUGAUCCAGCCAUGCCGCGUGCGGGAAGAAGGCCUUCGGGUUGUAAACCGCUUUUGUCAGGGAAGAAACGAGUUUCUCUAAUACAGAGACUUAAUGACGGUACCUGAAGAAUAAGCACCGGCUAACUACGUGCCAGCAGCCGCGGUAAUACGUAGGGUGCAAGCGUUAAUCGGAAUUACUGGGCGUAAAGCGUGCGCAGGCGGUUAUGCAAGACAGAGGUGAAAUCCCCGGGCUCAACCUGGGAACUGCCUUUGUGACUGCAUAGCUAGAGUACGGUGGAGGGGGAUGGCAUACCGCGUGUAGCGGUGAGAUACGUAGAUAUGCGGAGGAGCACCGAUAGCGAGAGCGAUCCCCUGGACCUGUUCUGACGCUCAUACACGAGAGCGUGGGGAGCAAACA